rfam:Tetrahymena thermophila SB210 genomic scaffold scf_8254659, whole genome shotgun sequence.
GAUUUCUUAGUGUAGUGGUUAUCACGUCAGUCUUACACACUGAAGGUCCCGAGUUCAAUCCUCGGAGAAAUCA